GGGUAUAGCUCGGGUGGUAGAACUAUGGUUUUGCAUAGCAUAUGACAUCGGUUCGAGUCUCUUUAUUUCC
rnacentral:tRNA from 15 species